AAAAAGUUAAACCCUAGAUUUCCGUGUCCAAUUUUAAUUGUGCGUCUUAUAUGAAAUUUUUUUAUAAUUUAUAUUUUCAUUGUUGUUAGAUGAUAAAACAUGAUUAAUAUUUUAUACGUGACUUGUCUUUUUAAUUUUUUCAUAAUUUUUUCAAAUAAGACGGACGGUCAAACGUUGGGCACGGAAACCAGAGUUUGUCUUUUUU
rfam:Oryza sativa Japonica Group DNA, chromosome 2, cultivar: Nipponbare, complete sequence.